GGAGAUGAAAAACAUGGGUCAUAAGAGGCACUCUUAUCCAUCAGUUCUUGAAUUAGCAUGAUUUUUCAAGCACUGAAUAAUGAACAUGAAGUAUUGGUUUAUGUUAUCUUCAUUGCAUUUACAUCUACAUUUAAGCAAAAUUAAAUCGGCAUCUUGCAACACAAAUAUUAUCCUUAAAUUAUACUAUUCCAGUGUCCCAGUCACUUUCCCCAUCAUUUAACUAAACUGUUUUUAAAUGAAGGUGUUAUAAGUAAUUCCCUGAAUUUUUUUUUUUUUUUUUUCUGUAUCUAGGGGCAAGUGAACUGAAAACUGAAAACACUGAACAGAAUACAGCCAGACCUGAAUGUGAUGAUUGUGGAGGAACAGCCAUCCUGAAACAAUGCUGACAUUUUCAAGGAGGUAUUUUGACUGGAGUGUGGAGGUUAAAGGUGAAGAUCUCCCACAUAAUGACUCCAAAGCUCCAUACAUCACUCUCUGUGGAGAACUUCCUGUACAUGAUGCUCUCCGGAGGCAUCCAGCGAAUGGGCAGCAUGGUGUGACCUCCCACCUAGAAGACAGAUUACACAUCAAGCAUUGCUCACAAACAUCUUGCGUGACUUCAGAAGGAUCCCAGCAUCGGAAACAAAUGGAUCGUUCAUUUUAAUGGCGUCCCAGAUCACAUCAGAGGAUUGUACGUUUGUUCAGAGCAUUUUGUUUUGUAAAAGAGGCACUGUGUAAUGGAGAGUUUGCAAAGAAACUUCUGUUGAAAGAUGAAGCAACUGACUGUAUUCUGACAGCAUCUGCAUCACAAACAGCAAGUAAAUGAUUUCAAUAAUACUUUGUCUGUAAAUUACUUUUUUUUUUUUUAUAUGGAAAAUGUUUUUAAAACACUCACAUGCAAUAGAGAGUGGGCAUCGAUACUGUUUCCUAUGCAAUGACAUUAACCAAUCAUAACAGUGGCUGUUUACUGACGAGCCGCCCCUUAAAAACUGAUCAUUUUCCUUGCUCUUUUGAAAUAAAUGUGUUAUGAUAACAUAAUUCUAUGCUUUGUGAUCUACAUGGCAAGGUGAACGAAUGUUCAAACAGACAGAAAAGUUAACACUUGGUCUCCAAUGUGCAAAUGAGAUGCUAGAGAUUAUUCUUGGAUCUUGCAUAUAGGUAAAGCAAAACUCUGUGCUAACCACCAACUGAGAUGCUAAGUAGUUCAGGAAUGAACUCAUGUUGGGUUGAAAAGGGAAAUAAAUGCAGCAGAACUCAAUUGUAAUUGCAAAAUAGCUUGUGUGAGUCAGUCAUAUUAUGGAUUCCUGAAAAGUCAGCAUGUCAUGGCUCAAGGGACUUGCUUACUUGAAACCGUGCAACAGCUUCCUUUCAAACAAUCCUACUGCAGAAGUCUACAAAUAAAACCAUAAUCAUGCAAGUACAAUUUUUAAUUAUCAAAAUUGUUGUAUGAAUGAAACUCUAAGGGGGAAUUUCACAAAAGCACAUCCAAGUCACAUUUCACACAAAAAUUAUACAGCAUAAAGAAUUAAGCCUGUUUUAAGAUUUUUUUUUUCAUUGCAUUGAGACAUUAAUGAUGAUUAAAUAAAUGUUUCCCCACAAAUUACCAUAAUGCCCAGACAUUUUACUUUUGUGUAUUUCCAUUAUUAUUUUAUUAUUACUAUAUGUGACCCUGGACCACAAAACCAGUCAUAAGUCACAUGGGUAUAUUUGUAGCAAUAGCCAACAAUACAUUGUAUGGGUCAAAAUGAUCGAUUUUUUUUUUUUUUUUUUUAUGCCAAAAAUAAUUAGGAUAUUAAGUAAAGAUCAUGUUCCAUGAAGAUAUUUUGUAAAUUUCUUACUGUAAAUAUAUCAAACAUUUAUUUUUGUGAGUAAUAUGCAUUGCUAAGGACAACUUUAUAGGCGAUUUUCUCAAUAUUUUGAUUUUUUUGCACCUUCAGAUUCCAGAUUUUCAAAUAAUUAUAUCUCAGCCAGAUAUUGUCCUAUUCUAACAAACCAUACAUCAACUGAAUAAAUCUCAAUUUUAAAAAAUUGACCCUUAUGACUGGUUCUGUGGUCCAGGGUUACAUAUAACAGUAAAAUAAUACAAUACAAAUAUUUUUAUUAAGAAUUGAAACAUGCAGUAUAAAAUAUUACUGUGUGAAAAUAAAACAUAAAUAAUAUAUUUAAAUAUUUAAAAAUAUUGAAUAAAAAAUAUAAUUAUAUUAGAUAUUUAUAGAUAUAAUGACAUUGAUAAA